GGUUCUGUAGUGUAGUGGUGAUCACUCCGGUUUUUGAAACGAUAUCGUUGAAUUACCGGUAACCCCGGUUCGAACCCGGGCAGGACCU
rnacentral:tRNA from 1 species